AGAGUUUGAUCCUGGCUCAGAUUGAACGCUGGCGGCAGGCUUAACACAUGCAAGUCGAGCGGGGAAAGGUAGCUUGCUACCUGACCUAGCGGCGGACGGGUGAGUAAUGCUUAGGAAUCUGCCUAUUAGUGGGGGACAACAUUCCGAAAGGAAUGCUAAUACCGCAUACGCCCUACGGGGGAAAGCAGGGGAUCUUCGGACCUUGCGCUAAUAGAUGAGCCUAAGUCAGAUUAGCUAGUUGGUGGGGUAAAGGCCUACCAAGGCGACGAUCUGUAGCGGGUCUGAGAGGAUGAUCCGCCACACUGGGACUGAGACACGGCCCAGACUCCUACGGGAGGCAGCAGUGGGGAAUAUUGGACAAUGGGCGAAAGCCUGAUCCAGCCAUGCCGCGUGUGUGAAGAAGGUGCUUUUGGUUGUAAAGCACUUUAAGCGAGGAGGAGGCUACUUAGAUUAAUACUCUAGGAUAGUGGACGUUACUCGCAGAAUAAGCACCGGCUAACUCUGUGCCAGCAGCCGCGGUAAUACAGAGGGUGCGAGCGUUAAUCUGAUUUACUGGGCGUAAAGCGUGCGUAGGCGGCUUUUUAAGUCGGAUGUGAAAUCCCUGAGCUUAACUUAGGAAUUGCAUUCGAUACUGGGAAGCUAGAGUAUGGGAGAGGAUGGUAGAAUUCCAGGUGUGGCGGUGAAAUGCGUAGAGAUCUGGAGGAAUACCGAUGGCGAAGGCAGCCAUCUGGCCUAAUACUGACGCUGA
rnacentral:rRNA from 1 species